rnacentral:rRNA from 1 species
CCUACGGGUGGCAGCAGUGAGGAGUAUUGGUCAAUGGGCGGAAGCCUGAACCAGCCAAGUCGCGUGAGGGAAUAAGGCCCUACGGGUCGUAAACCUCUUUUGCCGGGGAGCAAGGUCGGGGACGUGUCCCGGCCUGUAUGGUACCCGUGGAAAAAGCAUCGGCUAACUCCGUGCCAGCAGCCGCGGUAAUACGGAGGAUGCGAGCGUUAUCCGGAUUUUUUGGGUUUAAGGGGUGCGUAGGCGGGCGUUUAAGUCAGCGGUAAAGAUUCGGGGCUCAACCCAGUCCGGCCGUUGAAACUGGGGGCCUUGAGUGGGCGAGAAGAAGGCGGAAUGCGUGGUGUAGCGGUGAAAUGCAUAGAUAUCACGCAGAACCCCGAUUGCGAAGGCAGCCUUCCGGAGCCCUACUGACGCUGAGGCACGAAAGUGCGGGGAUCGAACAGGAUUAGAUACCCUUGUAGUC